rnacentral:rRNA from 1 species
GACGAACGCUGGCGGCGUGCUUAACACAUGCAAGUCGAACGGUGAAGGUGGAGCUUGCUCCGCCGGAUCAGUGGCGAACGGGUGAGUAACACGUGGGCAACCUGCCCCUCACUUCGGGAUAACUCCGGGAAACCGGGGCUAAUACCGAAUACGACCUCCUUGGGCAUCCCGGGAGGGGGAAAGUUUUUCGGUGAGGGAUGGGCCCGCGGCCUAUCAGGUUGUUGGUGAGGUAACGGCUCACCAAGGCGACGACGGGUAGCCGGCCUGAGAGGGCGACCGGCCACACUGGGACUGAGACACGGCCCAGGCUCCUACGGGAGGCAGCAGUGGGGAAUAUUGCGCAAUGGGCGAAAGCCUGACGCAGCAACGCCGCGUGCGGGAUGAAGGCCUUCGGGUUGUAAACCGCUUUCAGCAGGGAAGAAGCCGCAAGGUGACGGUACCUGCAGAAGAAGCACCGGCUAACUACGUGCCAGCCGCCGCCGUAA